CAGCUUGAGAAAGAACCCGCUCGACCCGAGGCUCCCGAGUCAGAAGAGCGGCCCCCCUUUCUCCGAGGGGGUUGCGGGUUCCGACGAUCCUGCCGGUCUCGGCGGGAGCCGGAGCCCCUUGAGAUACUGCGGCGGUUGGGCUGCUCGGUUUCGCGGCUUUGCCGCGGUCGAGCUGGUGUCGCUCCCUUGCGCGUCCUGGAGCCGGACUGUGUAGCUGGGCGCCCUGCGGGUUCCAGGCCCAGCGGGCCAGAGUCGCAGUCGCGGUCAUGGUUAUAUGGACGCUGCAGUUUUUGUUUCUGAAUCCCAGAACUGGAGCCUGACUCCCUAGAGAGACUGAGGGUGCCGAGAGCAGCUGUAUUUUGCUAAAAGGUCAAUGCAGAGUGGAUCAAACCAGAAAUAAGCCUCUCCGGCCAGAGCAAGACUUCACCGAAAGCAGUAACAUACCUAAAGCAGGAAUGCCUCAAUCAGGAAUUGAGCCAAAAAAAAAAAAGCCUGGAAAGUAAAUAAUUUGGCAAGAUCCCUGUCUAAAGGGAAAGUCUCCUCAGCAGGUACAAAACCUAUCUUGUUCUGGUAGUGGAGGCAGUUUGAUCUAUCAAAGUUUGAUGUGAUUCCAUUAAGUCAUACAACUAAACCUAUUAUUCUUUUACUUUUCUUAAUAAAUACAGUUCUGAAUGUUAUUUUAAGCCCCACAUAGUUUUUCUACAAUGAGAGAAAUCUCAGCCAAAUGAAAUGAAUAGCCAUUUCCUAUGACAAUUACUUUUUUCACUGUAAAUUAAUACACUGGUCUUUUUAUACACAAGCUUCUAAUGAAUAUGAUUCAGCAUCUCUGGUCCUGCAAUGUGAAGGGCAGACCCUGAACUACAUUCACAAAAGAAAACUGUUGCUCUGAGUCCUUUUGGCCAGCAUGUUUUCUAAAUCCCCAAUUUUGCAACACCUCCUGCCUCUUUGGUACACAAAGGAAUUUCUGCAUGUAGUCAAGGAUUAAAACCUGGUGAAGAUUUGGGGACUUUGGUAACUUAUUUCUAAUUGUUAGUAAAACCCUUAAAGAAGAUUCCAAACUUUAUUUGAGUAAAGCAAAGAGGGCAAAACAAGGGCAUUCCACCUUUGGGAAAAGAACUUCAGGGAUGGGGGCUUUUCUUUCUGUUUUGCCCCUGAAGAAAAAGAAAGCACCUGAAGCUGACCUGGUUCUGAAGAAGAAGAAUAAGUCUUAAAAUGAUUUCCCAACGGUUAACAAGAACAGUAUUAAAAAAAGGAAACACCUAAGAAGAAAAUCUUGGGGAUAUCUAUAAGAGGUUAGAGGGAAAGAAUCUGGUCAAGGAAGAAGAAAGCUUUAAGAAAUCAUUAAUAAAUAAGGCUCAAUGAUGCAGAAUCAUGA